CCGCGGCUGAGGGCUGUCGGGCCGCGGGCUCAGGCUCAAGUCCAGGCCGGGCUCGGGCACUGGGGCUCGGAGUUCCGGGACUUGGGGCUCCGGGGGUGGCCCCGGGACCGCCGCGGCUUCUUCCCCGUCCGCCGACUCCAGCUCUGACUCCCCACAACCCAUCAUCUUUGGAAGUGCCUUGAGGGUGCGGGGAUGCGGGGGUCGCAGGCGGUCCAAGGGUCAGAGGACACAGCCUGGCCACCUCCUCCUUUCCCCCGCCCCUCCUAGACGCCGCUCCCGGAAACCGUUAACCCUUUCCUUCGGGGGCGGAGUCAGCAGCCCCACCCACCCUGUUGACGCUCCCAGGCGUCAUUUCCCUCGCCCAGUCCCCAGGUUCCCGGCGAGCUUCCGCACUCACAGCCUUCGCACCGCCCCCAAGCCGAAGUAUUGGAAGCACUCGCAGACUUGGCACCGCCCCCAAGCCGAAGUGUUUUUGAGGAAGUGCCGUGGAACAUCAGAUAGAAUGGAUAGCAUAGCCCAAAUUUUACAAAAAGGAUUUUAAAGGAAGAUCUCAAUGGUUAAACACUACAGGCUUUCCUGCUAAAGUUAAGAACAAGAAAAGGCUGACGCAGCUUCGGCAUGCAGGAAGUGUUGGAGCUGAAACUCGAAACUGUCCCCCAGGCCUUGGCCAUGCUGAUAAAUAUCUAGGCCCUACAGGAGUUCGUGUCCAUGAACCCAGUAAACGCAAUUCCUCAGCCUUAAAAUCUAGUCACUGUCUCAUUUCAGGCCCCAGCACAGAUGAAAACAAGCCAUUCUGUUUGCCCAGUUUACAUUGCGGGUCUCCAAGAAGUGGAAUGUUCACCAAUGAUUUUAAGAAAACAGGGCCUGGCGCGG